UGGAAGGGUUAACCGGAAACAGCUGAAAUCGAAAAUGAUGCAGAAAUGUAUAAUGAAUGGUGUUAAAUUCCACCAAGCCAAAGUUAUAAAGGUGAUUCAUGAGGAAUCGAAAUCCAUGUUGAUAUGCAAUGAUGGUAUUACUAUUCAGGCAACGGUGGUGCUCGAUGCAACUGGCUUCUCUAGAUCUCUUGUUCAGUAUGAUAAGCCUUAUAACCCCGGGUAUCA
rnacentral:misc_RNA from 1 species